rnacentral:lncRNA from 1 species
UGCUUAUAUUUUACUGUAUUUCCUGUUUGUUUAAAUACUCCUAGUUAUUACUUUUUACACUCUCAAAUAAUUCUGUUUGAUCAAGGCUUAUAUUUUACUGUAUUUCCUGUUUGUUUAAAUACUUAUUUCUUUCUAGACUCUGAAAUAAGCCUGCUUGAUUCUUCUCUUUUGGAUCAUCUCGAUCAAAUCGACAUAUCGGAUUUGGAAAACUAUGUUUUUUCGAGUUCACCUAGUUCUUCGCCUAGUUCCUCACCCCCGGUUUUAGAGAGAGCUACAGGCAAGAACAUUCGUCUCUCGACCCGUGAGAGAGAGGCUUUGCUUUCUGCAAGGGUUUGCCCCGCGUCAGCUCCCCAGCGUGCCUCGGGCAAAAACCUGAAUUUAACCGCCCGGGAGAGGGAACAGCUGAUCGCUGCGCACGCUCACAGUCCCGGCUUCGGAGCUCCAGCUCCCCAGCGUGCCUCGGGCAAAAACCUGUAUCUGUCUGCCCGGGAGAGGGAACACGCUCACAGUCCCGGCUUCGGAGCUCCAGCUCCCCAGCGUGCCUCGGGCAAAAACCUGAUUCUGUCCGCCCGGGAGAGGGAACACGCUCACAGUCCCGGCUUCGGAGCUCCAGCUCCCCAGCGUGCCUCGGGCAAAAACCUGAAUCUGUCUGCCCGGGAAAGGGAACAGCUGAUCGCUGCGCACGCUCACAGUCCCGGCUUCGGAGCUUCUCCUCCUGUAUCGGGGCCAAGACAUUCACAGCCCCUGCCUCGGAGAUCCAGUCUAGGUCAGUCACUCUCGCUUUUUCUUUUUCUCUCAUUUUAUAAAAAACUAUCGCCUUUUCUAUUAAACAUCACUAACUGAUAUGUAACUUACCCUUAAAUUCUUAGGUCAUCUCAGAAACAGGAGUAGGAGGACCGUUAGGAGGACCCGUAGGCCUGCCAGCACAAGGAGGACAAGGCAGAUACGUGUACGGCGAGACAGACUUGUUUCCAUUGCUCUCCGAUCAGUUUCGUUGAUCGCUGAAAUAGUUCAGCUCAUCUUGUAAUAAGGUUUUAUUUAAUUUAAUUGUUUUUUAUUUUUAUUUUAUUUUAUUUUUAAAAUAU